rnacentral:lncRNA from 1 species
AGGAAGCAGCAGCCUCCGCUCCGCGGCGGGUGUGCUCGGCAGUCACAGACCCACUCAGGACACCUCCCGUUGCCGACGGGCUAGACCUGCCUUAAAGGGGUCCCCGUGUCUCUCCAGUCUAGAGCCUAAGUUCAAACGAGGCGUAUAGGCGAGGACAGCAGGAAGGCUCCAAGUCAAACAAACGGAUGGGAAGUGGUCUUGGGAAACCUGAAGACACUGGGAUAUUCAGAAGGCCAAGGGGAUCCAGCUUAUCCUGUUGGGCAAGGUGCUGGGAGUGAAGGCAGAGAUUCCACUGAUGAUUUCCAGGAACUACCAAAGCCACGGAUCAGCUGAGUUACCCGGGCUAAUAGCAGGAGGAAACAGUGUCAGAGAGGGAUCUGGCUGAUCUUCAACUCCACUAAGUUCUCCCCAAGGGUCUUGCUCCAUCACCCACGCUGGAGUGCAGUGGCACAAUCACAGCUCACUACAACCUCAACUUUCCUGGCUCAGUGAUUAUCCCACCUCAGCCUCCUGAGUAGCUGGGACUAACAGGCAUGUGCCAACAUGUCCCACUCAUUUUUUUUUUAUUUUUUGUAGAGAUGGGGUUUCACCAUGUUGUCCAGGCUGGUCUCAAACUCCUGGGCUCAAGCGAUCCUCCCUGCCUUGGCCUGUGCUGGGAUUACAGGUGUGAGCCACCGUGCUGGCCUCAGUACUAUUUUUUAUUGA